CCUGGCUCAGGUCGAACGCUGGCGGCGCGCCUAACACAUGCAAGUCGAACGAGAGAUGAGGAGCUUGCUCUUCAAAUCGAGUGGCGAACGGGUGAGUAACGCGUGAGGAACCUGCCUCAAAGAGGGGGACAACAGUUGGAAACGACUGCUAAUACCGCAUAAGCCCACGGCUCGGCAUCGAGCAGAGGGAAAAGGAGCGAUCCGCUUUGAGAUGGCCUCGCGUCCGAUUAGCUAGUUGGUGAGGUAACGGCCCACCAAGGCGACGAUCGGUAGCCGGACUGAGAGGUUGAACGGCCACAUUGGGACUGAGACACGGCCCAGACUCCUACGGGAGGCAGCAGUGGGGAAUAUUGCACAAUGGGGGAAACCCUGAUGCAGCGACGCCGCGUGGAGGAAGAAGGUCUUCGGAUUGUAAACUCCUGUUGUUGAGGAAGAUAAUGACGGUACUCAACAAGGAAGUGACGGCUAACUACGUGCCAGCAGCCGCGGUAAAACGUAGGUCACAAGCGUUGUCCGGAAUUACUGGGUGUAAAGGGAGCGCAGGCGGGAGAACAAGUUGGAAGUGAAAUCCAUGGGCUCAACCCAUGAACUGCUUUCAAAACUGUUUUUCUUGAGUAGUGCAGAGGUAGGCGGAAUUCCCGGUGUAGCGGUGGAAUGCGUAGAUAUCGGGAGGAACACCAGUGGCGAAGGCGGCCUACUGGGCACCAACUGACGCUGAGGCUCGAAAGUGUGGGUAGCAAACAGGAUUAGAUACCCUGGUAGUCCACACCGUAAACGAUGAUUACUAGGUGUUGGAGGAUUGACCCCUUCAGUGCCGCAGUUAACACAAUAAGUAAUCCACCUGGGGAGUACGACCGCAAGGUUGAAACUCAAAGGAAUUGACGGGGGCCCGCACAAGCAGUGGAGUAUGUGGUUUAAUUCGACGCAACGCGAAGAACCUUACCAAGUCUUGACAUCCCUUGACGAUGCUGGAAACAGUAUUUCUCUUCGGAGCAAGGAGACAGGUGGUGCAUGGUUGUCGUCAGCUCGUGUCGUGAGAUGUUGGGUUAAGUCCCGCAACGAGCGCAACCCUUAUGGUCAGUUACUACGCAAGAGGACUCUGGCCAGACUGCCGUUGACAAAACGGAGGAAGGUGGGGAUGACGUCAAAUCAUCAUGCCCUUUAUGACUUGGGCUACACACGUACUACAAUGGCGUUAAACAAAGAGAAGCAAGACCGCGAGGUGGAGCAAAACUCAGAAACAACGUCCCAGUUCGGACUGCAGGCUGCAACUCGCCUGCACGAAGUCGGAAUUGCUAGUAAUCGUGGAUCAGCAUGCCACGGUGAAUACGUUCCCGGGCCUUGUACACACCG
rnacentral:rRNA from 1 species